rnacentral:rRNA from 1 species
GACGUAGGGCGCGAGCGUUGUCCGGAUUUAUUGGGCGUAAAGAGCUCGUAGGCGGCUUGUCGCGUCGACCGUGAAAACUUGGGGCUCAACCCCAAGCCUGCGGUCGAUACGGACAGGCUCGAGUUCGGUAGGGGAGACUGGAAUUCCUGGUGUAGCGGUGAAAUGCGCAGAUAUCAGGAGGAACACCGAUGGCGAAGGCAGGUCUCUGGGCCGAUACUGACGCUGAGGAGCGAAAGCGUGGGGAGCGAACAGG